CCUACGGGAGGCAGCAGUGGGGAAUAUUGGGCAAUGGAGGAAACUCUGACCCAGCGACGCCGCGUGAGGGAUGAAGGCCUUCGGGUUGUAAACCUCUUUCAGUAGGGAAGAAGCGAAAGUGACGGUACCUACAGAAGAAGCACCGGCUAACUAUGUGCCAGCAGCCGCGGUAAUACAUAGGGUGCAAGCGUUGUCCGGAAUUAUUGGGCGUAAAGAGCUCGUAGGUGGUUCGAUACGUCGGAUGUGAAAAUCAGGGGCUCAACCCCUGACCUGCAUCCGAUACGGUCGAGCUAGAGUUUGGUAGGGGAGACUGGAAUUCCUGGUGUAGCGGUGGAAUGCGCAGAUAUCAGGAGGAACACCGAUGGCGAAGGCAGGUCUCUGGGCCAAUACUGACACUGAGGAGCGAAAGCGUGGGGAGCGAACAGGAUUAGAUACCCUGGUAGUCCACGCCGUAAACGGUGGGCGCUAGUUGUGCGAACCUUCCACGGUUUGUGCGACGCNGCUACGCAUAAGCGCCCGCCGUCGGGAGGUACGAGCGCGAGAAGUAAACUACGUAAAGUAAGUAGUUAGCGUGAGAGUGCGACGGCGACGACGAGGGAGGAGG
rnacentral:rRNA from 1 species